GAGGGUAUAGCUCAAGUGGUAAAGCACAUGCUUAGCAUACAUGAUGUCCUGGGUUCAAUCCCUAGUAUCUCCU
rnacentral:tRNA from 1 species